GCGGGAGUGGCGGAACUGGCAGACGCGCAAGGCUUAGGACCUUGUGCCCGUAAGGGCCUGGGGGUUCGAGUCCCCCCUCCCGCACCA
rnacentral:tRNA from 1 species